AUUGAACGCUGGCGGCAGGCUUAACACAUGCAAGUCGAGCGAGCGGCGGACGGGUGAGUAAUGUCUGGGAAACCGCCUGAUGGAGGGGGAUAACUACUGGAAACGGUAGCUAAUACCGCAUACCAUCAGAGGUGCCCAGAUGGGAUUAGCUAGUAGGUGGGGUAAUGGCUCACCUAGGCGACGAUCCCUAGCUGGUCUGAGAGGCUGACCAGCCACACUGGAACGGAUACACGGUCCAAACUCCUCCGGGAGGCAGCAGUGGGAAAUAUUGCACAAUGGGCGCAAUCCUGAUACAGCCAUGCCGCGUGUGUGAAGAAGGCCUUCGGGUUUUAAAGCACUUUCAGCGAGGAGGCGUUACUCGCAGAAGAAGCACCGGCUAACUCCGUGCCAGCCGCCGCGGUAAUAC
rnacentral:rRNA from 1 species